rnacentral:rRNA from 1 species
CGGGGGGGGGGGCAAGCGUUGUUCGGAAUUACUGGGCGUAAAGGGCGCGUAGGCGGACGAGACAGUCUUUCGUGAAAUCCCACGGGCUCAACCGUGGAACUGCGGGAGAUACUACUCGUCUUGAGUUCGGGAGAGGAGUGUGGAAUUCCCAGUGUAGCGGUGAAAUGCGUAGAUAUUGGGAGGAACACCGGUGGCGAAGGCGGCACUCUGGACCGAUACUGACGCUGAGGCGCGAAAGCUAGGGGAGCAAACGGGAUUAGGUACCCCGGUAGUCCUAGCUGUAAACGAUGAGCACUUGGUGUAGCGGGUAUCGACCCCUGCUGUGCCGGAGUUAACGCAUUAAGUGCUCCGCCUGGGGAGUACGGUCGCAAAGGCUGA